rnacentral:antisense_RNA from 1 species
UCAUACGGCGGGCGAUGCGCGGGGAUCUCCCGAUCCGCCGGUUUUUCACCGUGACACUUCUGCCGGUACGCCAACCCGCAUCGCCCGCCACCCCG